GACGAACGCUGGCGGCGUGCCUAAUACAUGCAAGUCGAGCGGACGGACGGGAGCUUGCUCCUAGACCGUGAGCGGCGGACGGGAGAGUAACACGUGGGCAACCUGCCUGUAAUAUCGGGAGAACUCCGGGAAACCGGGGCUAAUUCCGGAUAACUCUUUCCUUCACAUGAGGGAAAGCGGAAAUAUGGCAUUGCGCUAUUACUUACAGCGGUGCCCGCGGCGCAUUAGCGAGUUGGUGAGGCAACGGCUCACCAAGGCGACGAUGCGUAGCCGACCUGAGGCGGUGAUCCGCCCCACUGGGACUUAGACACCGCCCAGACUCCUACGGGAGGCAGCAGUAGGGAAUCUUCCGCAAUGGACGAAAGUCUGACGCAGCACCGCCGCGUGGGUGAAGAAGGUUUUCGGAUCGUAAAACUCUGUUGUUAGGGAAGAACAAGUACCGGAGUAACUGCCGGUUCCUUGACGGUACCUGAACAGAAAGCCACGGCUAACUUCGUG
rnacentral:rRNA from 1 species